rnacentral:rRNA from 1 species
GGAACAUGUUUAGCUCAAGCUUGCUAGGAAGGAGCCUGUGACAUCACAGAGAGGGAUUUGUGAGAUAAGAAAGGGAAUUUGUGGCUAAAAGGGGGAUGUGGUUGUGCUAAUUGGAAUGAGAACAAGGUAAACCGCUUAUCGAGGAACCAGCAGAGGGCAAGUCUGGUGCCAGCAGCCGCGGUAAUUCCAGCUCUGUAAGCGUAUACCCAAGUUGUUGCAGUUAAAACGCUCGUAGUCGGAGGUUGGCGGGCGGAACGGGGCGUCUUCACGGACGGGCCCGGGUCGGCCGCCUUUGUGGAGGGGGGCGCGGUGCCGCUUAAAUGCGGUGUCGUUGUCGCUGCCACCGUUUACUGUGAAAAAAUUAGAGUGUUCAAAGCGGGCGUUUGCCAUGAAUACCUUAGCAUGGAAUAAUAGAAUAGGACCUGUUUGUCCUGUUUUGUUGGUUUGUGAGGACCGGGUAAUGAUUAAGAGGGACGGUUGGGGGCAUUUGUAUUCCGGCGUCAGAGGUGAAAUUCUUGGAUA